GACGAACGCUGGCGGCGUGCCUAAUACAUGCAAGUAGAACGCUGAAGGGAGGAGCUUGCUCUUCUUGGAUGAGUUGCGAACGGGUGAGUAACGCGUAGGUAACCUGCCUUGUAGCGGGGGAUAACUAUUGGAAACGAUAGCUAAUACCGCAUAACAAUGGAUGACCCAUGUCAUUUAUUUGAAAGGGGCAAAUGCUCCACUACAAGAUGGACCUGCGUUGUAUUAGCUAGUAGGUGAGGUAACGGCUCACCUAGGCGACGAUACAUAGCCGACCCGAGAGGGUGAUCGGCCACACUGGGACUGAGACACGGCCCAGACUCCUACGGGAGGCAGCAGUAGGGAAUCUUCGGCAAUGGGGGCAACCCUGACCGAGCAACGCCGCGUGAGUGAAGAAGGUUUUCGGAUCGUAAAGCUCUGUUGUAAGUCAAGAACGAGUGUGAGAGUGGAAAGUUCACACUGGACGGUAGCUACCAGAAAGG
rnacentral:rRNA from 1 species